CUCCCCUGGUGUCCUCUGCAGGAGCGCUGUCUCCGACCUCUGGGCACCCCGGCUCACGGGACCCUGUCUGUGCCUCCUGCCAGGGGUGUUCAGUGCAUGUCCCCCCAUGUCUCUGACUCCCAGAUUCCAACUCCUCAGGCCUGGGCCCAGGUCUCCCUCAUCGCCGUGUGUGCCCCAUCACCGGGCUGUCUAUUCAACUCUCGGAGCCAGGCCCAGCCUUGCCCAGGGGACACCUCUGGUCCUGGGAGGAGUGCUGGUGAGUUAAUGUCAUGGGGCUUCACUGAUGACCUGGUCUUGAAACUUGAUGAACAGGAAGCAUCCUGUUUAAAACUUACAUGAACCAUCUCAAGCCUUUUCUGAAGUCCUACAGAGCAGUGGCAGCCUGGAUUUGUUAUCCUUCCAAGAUCAUCUCUUGGGAGGACACCAGCCUCUUAUUAUAUCUCCCAGCCUGCCUGCGGGCAGCUCUGCAAAUCCUGCAUUCUUUGCUUGGCGUACUUGCUUCUGGCCUGGGUGUUCCGACGCCACCUCUGGCACCAGCAGGGUGGGUAGAUGGACAAAAUAAUUAAGCCCCAUGAGUUGGAAGGAGAACUAAUUCCCCCGUGCAAACCUUUUUUUUUCUUCUUGUCCUGGGUUACUUCAAAUGUGUUAAUCCAGGACUGCUGUUUUCUCCCUUUUGUAACAGGUCUAAUUUAAAGCAGUGCUGUUUUUUUCUUUAAGCUGUAUUUUUCAUUAGAGUGUAGUACAUGUGAACUUCAUAACAUUAAAGAUAUUUUUCCUUGUUUGUUAUAAAAUAAUUUAACUAUGUUAAACCCAGGUUUGAAAAGAGAAGAAUAAAAGAUCACCCCUAAUCUUACCACAGACACACCGGAUCCAGUUUCUGUGUUUUCCCUUCCAGCCUUUGUCUGGACACAUCCUUAACUGCAUCCGGGUAUGAUCCUGAUACACAUCUGCUUUUUGAAAGAACCUGAUCUGAGAGCACGUGCAUUGCCCCAUGUUGCCACAUAGUCUUUCUCACCAUCGUUAACAUAUAAUACACCUUGUAGGAUCAUAAUUUAUUUAAUCCACCUCCUGUGGUUGG